GAGGAAGUGAAUGAAAGGACAGGAGGAGCCCGAACACCAUGUCACUCUGGAAGGGAGACAGCAGCAACCAGGCUGUGCAAGUGAGUGGUGGAAGACGAAGGAUCUCUGAAGCCUCAUCAGUCAUCGGGACCAUCAGGAAUAGUGGUUUAAGAGGACGCUCGGCCUGGGGCACUAUACCCUGUCAUCGAGUUCCCUGCCUCGGAGAUAAAGAUUCCAGCUACAUGGGUAAACGCCUGGAUCAGCCACAAAUGUACCCCCAGUACACUUACUACUAUCCUCACUGUCUCUAAACCAAGGUAUGGCUCGACCCACAGUCUGGCAAGCAGUGUACUCUAGAGACUGAAGUUUGGAGCUUUACAAUAGAUGUUCUUUACUUUUCGAAGCUCUGUUUUUCUGUGCUGGCUGCCAUCAGGAGGCCUGUGGGUCUUGAAACGGGAUGAAAUAUAACUGAUGAUAAUUGGACACGAAUUGGUUAAAUACUUUAGUCUUGGGAUCCCUGGGUGGCGCAGUGGUUUGGCGCCUGCCUUUGGCCCAGGGCGUGAUCCUGGAGACCUGGGAUCGAAUCCCACGUCGGGCUCCCGGUGCAUGGAGCCUGCUUCUCCC